rnacentral:misc_RNA from 1 species
AAGUCGUAACAAGGUCUCCGUUGGUGAACCAGCGGAGGGAUCAUUACAGAGUUAUACAAACUCCAAACCCUGUGAAAAUACUUGCUUUGUUGCCUCGGCAGGUCGCGACCUACCCUGUAGCAGUUACCCUGUAACAGCUACCCUGUAGCCGCGCUCCAGGCCUGCCGGCGGACCAAACCAACUCUUGAUUAUAUGUACUUCUGAAUUAAUAACUUAAUACGUUAAAACUUUCAACAACGGAUCUCUUGGUUCUG